rnacentral:rRNA from 1 species
AUUGAACGCUGGCGGCAGGCCUAACACAUGCAAGUCGAGCGAGCGGCGGACGGGUGAGUAAUGUAUGGGGACUGCCCGAUAGAGGGGGAUAACUCCUGGAAACGGUAGCUAAUACCGCAUACUAUCGGAUAACCCAUAGGGGAUUAGCUAGUAGGUGAGGUAAUGUCGCACCUCGGCGCCGAUCCAUAGCUGGUCUGAGAGGAUGAUCAGCCACACUGGGACUGAGACACGGCCCCGACUCCUACGGAGGCAGCAGUGGGGAAUAUUGCACAAUGGGCGCAAGCCUGAUGCAGCCAUGCCGCGUGUAUGAAGAAGGCCCUAGGGUUGGAAAGUACUUUCAGUCGGGAGGCGUUACCGACAGAAGAAGUACCGGCGAACUCCGUGCCAGCAGCCGCGGUAAUUC